UACGUAGGUGGCGAGCGUUGUCCGGAUUUACUGGGCGUAAAGGGAGCGUAGGCGGACUUUUAAGUGAGAUGUGAAAUACUCGGGCUCAACUUGAGUGCUGCAUUUCAAACUGGAAGUCUAGAGUGCAGGAGAGGAGAAUGGAAUUCCUAGUGUAGCGGUGAAAUGCGUAGAGAUUAGGAAGAACACCAGUGGCGAAGGCGAUUCUCUGGACUGUAACUGACACUGAGGCUCGAAAGCGUGGGGAGCGAACAGG
rnacentral:rRNA from 1 species